GUGGACAGAGCUGCAAACCAGUUGAAAUCCCCCUCCACCGGAGUAGAGGGCGAGAGGGUCUAGCCCUGCAGUCCAGCUCAAACAUGGCGGGCCGUGGAGGCGACGUGAUGUGUUCACGGUCCGGGUCCAGAUCCGCCACCGACCGCCCAGCUUUAAUGAUGCCCGUGUCCGAUGAGCAGAAACCGAGGAAGAGGAGGAGAGCUUUCUGCCUGACCAGGAUGAAGUCCCGCAGCAGCUCCGGAGAACAGCACCAGCAUCAGCCCGCCGCAAACAACAACAACAUGCCGUUCAUGAUCCACUGCCAGAUCGGCAAAGAGAUCAAGCACAUCUGCAGCAACUGUCGAGGAGCCGAGCCGCUGGACGCUGAGGAGGUGGAGAGGUUGGCAGCGAUGCGCUCAGAUUCACUGGUUCCAGGCACACACACACCUCCCAUUCGGCGGCGGAGCAAAUUCGCCACCCUAGGACGUCUGUUUAAACCCUGGAAGUGGAGGAAGAAGAAGAGUGAAAAGUUCAAGCAGACCUCUGCUGUGUUGGAGAGGAAAAUGUCCACUCGCCAGAGCAGAGAGGAGCUCAUCAAGAAAGGAGUGCUGAAGGAGGUUUAUGAGAAAGACGGCUCUUCCCCAGCUGUACGAGACGAGGUGAAGAUGGAAAACGGGCGUUCUCCGGUGCUCAGCUCCAGCUUAUCAGAGCCUGAAGGUACUGAGAUGAUGGAAGGAGCCGCUGCAGCUGUAGGCUCUCUGGAGUUUCAGAUGCCAAGUGAGGGUGCUUGUCAACAGGACCACACCCAAAAAUCUACAAAGAAGUCCACUGUGUAUCCAGCUGACAGCGCCGAGUUGACGCUCUCCAGACCUCCUACGCUACACAAACAACCUCCUGCGCUACCACCCAAACCCUUCAACAGGCUACCUAAUCACAUUACAGACGGUGCCCCGGUGAAGUUGCCGUGUAUGUUGGCGAAGUUAUCUCCUCCUCUACCUCCAAAAAAGCUCAUGAUCUCCGUACCUGUAGGGAGCAUGGAGCCCUCUCCGCUCGCCUUCCAGAAGUGCCCCCCUCCCAGCCAUGCUCCAAUGGGCGGGCACUCCCUGCAGUACGGAGCGCUACCCCUCCACCCCCCCAGCCGAAUCAUAGAGGAGCUCAACAAGACCCUGGCCCUCACCAUGCAGAGGUUUGAGAGCUCCAUGAUGCACGCUGUUCCCACGGUGAUGAUCGAGUGUGACGACGACAAAGAGAACCUCCCCAACGAGGCAGACUACGAGGACCUGCCUGAGGAAGAGGAGGAGGAUGAAGAGGAGGAUGAAGAAGAAGAUGACGAGGAGGAAGAUGAAGAUGAGGAGGAAGAUGAUGAUGACACAUUGUUUACAAGCACACUGGCCAUGAAGGUUUUACGAAAGGACUCCCUGGCCAUCAAGCUCAGUAACCGUCCAUCGAAGAGGGAGCUGGAGGAGAAAAACAUCCUGCCGCUGCAGUCGGACCAAGAGAGACUCGAGUCUCGACAGCAAACAGCCACAAAACUGACCAGGCGAUUGAGUCAACGGCCGACAGCAGAGGAACUGGAACAGAGGAACAUACUCAAACCUCGAAAUGAUCUGGAGGAGCAGGAGGAGAAGAGGGAGAUCAAGAGACAUUUGUCCAAAAAGCUCAGCCAGAGGCCCACAGUAGAGGAGCUGAGAGAGGCCAAGAUCCUCAUCCGCUUCAGUGACUACGUGGAGGUGGCUGAGGCUCAGGACUACGACAGGAGAGCAGACAAGCCAUGGACUCGUCUGACUGCUGCUGAUAAGGUUGACUUAACAAACACACACAACAAAUCCAAAGAAUGCUUCACUAACUCUGGAUUUACCGGUAAGUCAUCUGUACAUACAUACUGUGUAAAUACGUGUCUCUUUGUGUGCUGUUCAGGCUGCCAUCAGGAAAGAACUAAAUGAGUUUAAAAGCACAGAGAUGGAGGUGCAUGAGUCGAGCCGUCAUCUGACCAGGUUCCAUCGGCCAUAAGAUGGAUCAGUCAGACCUCGGGCUUGCUUUUUCACUCACACACACCAAGCCUCAAGUGUUCAGACUGCUACCUGCUGCCCUCAUACUGCUAACAACUACCCUUUCCGGCGUUGACUUCAAACUGAAGGACUGGACAUUAACACAGCCUGUGUACUGCGGUCAUCGCAGGAACAUGAGCAAACACUUUCAAAAGUACAAAUGGAUUAAACUCUCAACUGGCGUCUCCCCUCAGUGGAGAUUUUACGGACUUCUUGAUACUCAAAAGCUUUUCAUUUUUUAGGAUGAAGAGGUGGUGAUUUGUUUACUUUGCAGCACUUUUGGUUUUGAACAAAGUUUUUGGAAGUCAAACACAGAAUCUGUGCCAAUUAUAAAGAUGGGAACAGAAGGAGGUAAAGAUGGGACUUUGUUUUUACACAGAGAUUUUCUUGCCUUUCACCAUGUUCUCAUUCUUCUUUUCUCAAAUGAACUUUCUUUCCAUGGGGCCAUGCUUGUGUUGGCACAGUUUUGUUCCACAGAUGACAUCUCAAUAAUGAUUUCUCAUUUUGUGAGAAUUAAAAUCUUUACAACAGUUUAUGCUGUUGUAGGCAGCUGAAUCUUAAGCCAAAAUGUCCUAAAAUCCUAAUCAGAGUCCCCAGAUGCUCUCUACAAGCCAGUGACAGUAGAAAUAAAAUUCUCCUAAUACAUACACACCAAUCAACUGAGCAAUAAUUUCAGAUUUUUUCUUCAUUUGUCCAUCAGUUUAUGGGCUGCAUCCAAGAGCUCAAAACACUUUUCAGACUUCAGAUCCCCUUUUUAAACCAAAGCAACUUGACUUGCUGUGGAAGUCGCGAUCUUGAAUGCAUCCCAGAGUGACUGCUGUUGAGAGUUCAGUAACUCACUGUGUCGCUGUGCCUACAGUAUUGUUUACAGGGAUUUAAAAGUUGCCAAAUUAACUUGUUUUUUGUUUGAUACAGAAUAUCAUCUGUAGGCACAGUAAAAUGUUGCCGAACUCUCUGCCGAACUACAAGAAAAGAAAACAUUUUUUUGUAUUUCAUUUUUUAUUGUCUGAGACAAACCUUUGGAGGUACAGAAUA